rnacentral:rRNA from 1 species
GAUGAACGCUGGCGGCGUGCCUAAUACAUGCAAGUCGAGCGAACAGACGAGGAGCUUGCUCCUCUGACGUUAGCGGCGGACGGGUGAGUAACACGUGGAUAACCUACCUAUAAGACCGGGAUAACUUCGGGAAACCGGAGCUAAUACCGGAUAAUAUAUUGAACCGCAUGGUUCAAUAGUGAAAGACGGUUUUGCUGUCACUUAUAGACGGAUCCGCGCCGCAUUAGCUAGUUGGUAAGGUAACGGCUUACCAAGGCAACGAUGCGUAGCCGACCUGAGAGGGUGAUCGGCCACACUGGAACUCAGACACGGUCCAGACUCCUACGGGAGGCAGCAGUAGGGAAUCUUCCGCAAUGGGCGAAAGCCUGACGGAGCAACGCCGCGUGAGUGAUGAAGGUCUUCGGAUCGUAAAACUCUGUUAUUAGGGAAGAACAAAUGUGUAAGUAACUAUGCACGUCUUGACGGUACCUAAUCAGAAAGCCACGGCUAACUACGUG